GACGAACGCUGGCGGCGUGCUUAACACAUGCAAGUCGAACGGGGUCCAUGCAGUCGCAAGACUGUGGAAGACCGAGUGGCGAACGGGUGCGUAACACGUGAGGAACUUGUCCCGGUCUCUGGAAUAACAGGUGGAAACACCUGCUAAUACCGGAUGACGUCGGUCCAUCGCAUGGUGGACUGACGAAAGGGUUACCGGAUCGGGAGAGCCUCGCGGCCUAUCAGCUUGUUGGUGAGGUAAUGGCUCACCAAGGCAUCGACGGGUAGCUGGUCUGAGAGGAUGAUCAGCCACACUGGGACUGAGACACGGCCCAGACUCCUACGGGUGGCAG
rnacentral:rRNA from 1 species